rnacentral:misc_RNA from 1 species
UUUGAUUUUGAGCAAUUCUACGGUCCUUGAGGAGGUACCAUGAGGUACCAAAAAUUUAAUGUAAAAUUUGGUACCUCAUAGUACCUAGGUACUAAGAGGUACCAAAUUUACAAUAGAAAAAAUUGUACCUCAUGGUACCUCCUUAAAGACCGUAAAAUUGUUUUUUGAUU